UACGUAGGGGCCGAGCGUUGUCCGGAGUUAUUGGGCGUAAGCGCGCGCAGGCGGCUUCGCGCGCCCGACGUGAAGCCCCCGGCUUAACCGGGAGAGUCGUUGGGACGGCGGAGCUUGAGGCGGGAGAGGUCGGUGGAAUUUCCGGUGUAGUGGUGAAAUGCGUAGAGAUCGGGAGGAACACCUGUGGCGAAGGCGGCCGACUGGGCCGACCCUGACGUU
rnacentral:rRNA from 1 species